AUUGAACGCUGGCGGCAGGCCUAACACAUGCAAGUCGAACGAGUGGCGGACGGGUGAGUAAUGUCUGGGAACCUGCUCGAUGGAGGGGGAUAACUACUGGAACCGGUAGCUAAAACGGCAUACCUUCGGAUGUUCCCAGGUGGGAUUAGCUAGUAGGUGGGGUAACGGCUAACCUAGGCGCCGAUCCCUAGCUGGUCUGAGAGGAUGACGAGCCACACUGGAACUGAGACACGGUCCAGACUCCUACGGGAGGCAGCAGUGGGGAAUAUUGCACAAUGGGCGCAAGCCUGAUGCAGCCAUGCCGCGUGUAUGAAGAAGGCCUUCGGGUUGUAAAGUACUUUCAGCGAGGAGGCGUUACUCGCAGAAGAAGCACCGGCUAACUCCGUGCCAGCAGCCGCGGUAAUAC
rnacentral:rRNA from 1 species